rnacentral:lncRNA from 1 species
CUGGCUCCCACAGCAGGAGCUUUGCCAUUGGUAAAAUACUCAAGUCCGUCCAGACAGUGUAGCUCCUGACCCCACCUAGUUGUGGGCCUGGGAAGGGCAGCUGCUUGUGCUGGUAGGUCUGUCUGCCAGAGGAGCCUCCCCAGCCUAGAGGGAGCAGGCCCUGAGGAGCGUCUCAGAGGGAAGGUGGCGUGCUGGGAGCUUGUCUCCCGGGAGCACACCUGGCAGACCCCUCUCCCACGGCCGCUCAGGCAUGAGCAUGUCGUGCUGUUUCCAAACAGAUCAUCAGCCCAGUUCCCAAGGCAGUGCUGUCACGUGGGUGUGAUCACCCCCCUAUUUGCAGUCAGGGUUUUCAUUGCUGGCCUCCACACUCUGCAGAAUGGAUUUCACCUGUUGGAUGAGCCCCACCCAUCUCACUUCACUUCAUCUCACCUCACAGGUCACCCUGGAGCUUUAAUCCAGUGGUUCUCAAAGUGUGGGCCCUGGGCCAGCAGCAUCAGCAGCAUCAGGAAACCUGCACCCCAGACCUACCGAAUCAGAUACUCUGGGGGUGGGCCCAGCAGUCCGGGUGAUUCUGAUGUCCUUCUAACGUGGGGCUCUGCCUGGUUCACAGUAACCGCUCUGAGCCAGCGGUUCUCAAACUCAGCUGCACACUGGAAUCACCUGAGGGCUCUAAAAAUACGGAUGCUCAGGCCACACCCAGACCAACUGAAUCAGACUCUCGGGGGAUGGACAUCAGCAGCUUCUACAGCUCCUGGGUGAUGCCUGUGUGCAGCCAGGACCGACGCCCAUGCUCUAGGCCUCACUGUUACUUCUGUAAGAUGAUAACAGCUGAGCUACCCCAAGGCAUCUUAUCAGAAUCAUUUCCCUUCUGUGACCAUGAGCUUGAACCCUGGAUAAAGGGGAGAGGGUUGGUUCUCAAGCUCGGACAGCAUAAACAAAUUUGAUUAUAACAACGGCAAGAGAUAUGUGCAUUAAAGAAAAGGGAGCUCCUUCGUGCCUCCUCCUCUAUUUGGGUGAAAGGGCAUAACCUGCCACUUUCCACUCCGGCUUUCUCUUUGGUGGGGGUGGCGGUGGGGAACUCCACCUCAGGAUGGGGUCUGAUUUGCAGCCGGUCAGUCGGGGCUGACCCCCCGGGUCUGAGGCCUUGUCUGCCCCCGCCCUGGCUUGCCCACGCCUCUCUGUUUCUCUGGCAGCUCUGUGUGGUUUCUGUAUUGCUUCUGGAGACCACCCUGUUCAUGGCUCUGUUCUGCAGGACGGGGACUGGCAGGGAAGGGGGCUGCCUGACCGCUACUCACGGAAGUGCCUUGACGUCCAUGUGUCUCAGCUCAUCCCCACGUGACCCCACAAAGUUCUCCACGCUGACUUUCUGAAAAAAGAGAAUGCUAUUUCUCACCACACGUUGGCGUUCCAGACAUCAAAUGCGUGGUCCAACAAGGACAGGAGGACAUACGCUACCGCUUCCCAAGGGAGAGCACCUCGCCCUCCUUCUCCGAGGGAGGAACAGGCGUAGGACCUCCUCGACUGUGCUGGUGGAGAUUACGAUGGGAACACUGCCUUCAGCCAAGAUGAAAUAAGCACCUACUCUGUGCUGUGCUGCGGGCCACCUGCUCUACCCGGUGGACUAGGACCUCACUGUCCCCAACUUCAGUGACUGUAUCGUGCCCCUGGGUACAUGCGCAUUCCUCUCACAAACAUUUGCUGAGCAUCUACGUAUAUGACCCUACUUCACUCAGCAAAUAUUCGUAGAGUACCUAUUAUGUGCCAGGAACCAUCCCAGGCUCUGGGAAUCCAGCGGAAAGCAGUCCCUGGCCUCCUAGAGCUGCUCGUUCUAGUAGAGGGAGAAAAACAGUGAGCCAACAAGAGGAGGAGAUGAUAGGCAGGGGCACCAGCACUGAAGGAAGCAAAACAAGAGAGCCCUCCGGCCAGGCAGACAACAGCGUUUGGAGGGGCCGGUGCCCCUGGGGUCAGCAGGGCUGCCCUGGGAGGAGGCCUCCCCGCUGAGACCCAUACCCCAUGCAGGAACCACCAGGUGAGGACCUGAGAGCAGGGGGCCAGGGGCACAGCAAGUGCAAGGGUCCCCAAAUAGGCAACAUCCGCCACCGGUAUUGUCACCAACCGGCUCUCUGGGGAUCAGAGACUGGUCACUGCAGGGAGGUGGGAGGAGGGUGGGCAGGCUGGAGAAGCUGUGAGGAGGGCCAUGUGCAGGCCACGGAAAGGGGCUGGAUUUGGUUCCAGGAGCAAUGGGAGUCCCCGGAGGUCCUGACACAACCUGGUCGACGUUUGUGAAGAAGGUCCUCUGACGGCCGGCGAGGUUGGCGGUGGAGUCCGCCUCUUCCCGUGAGAGAAGCCAAGGUGGAGCCGGCUGCCCUGCAGUAAGCGAGCUUCUCGGUCCCAGGCAGAGCCCAGCGAGGGCUGAGCAGCAGUGACACACAGCAGAUGGGGGCGGGGACGGGGCA